rnacentral:miRNA from 1 species
AGAAAUUUUUCAUCCCAGUUAAUU